rnacentral:lncRNA from 1 species
AAAAAAAUUCUUUGAAAGUAACUAAUUACGAAAGAGUCGUGAUGCUGUUAAUUUACUUCCAAUACAAUUAAACGCAGACGAGAACUCCAAAGACUACUUUGGGACAUGCGGAAGAGCAACAUUGGGGAAUAAUAAAACCGAAAUAGCUGGGAAUUAUCACUUAACAAUGUUAUUUAACAGAGGAUCAACAAUAGAGAAAACAAUCAAACUCCACGUUCAUCGUGUCUAGCAAAAUACAUCCAAAAACUACCCAAUGUCGAUGAACCCGCAUUCAAAAUAAGAGCAAUGUCUGUGAAAUUUAUGUAAGAUGCACCAUUCCUCUCAAACACCACACACUGCUCCUUAGGCUUCUGCGAACCUAUGAGGUAAAAAACAUAACAUGAAUCAACUUCCAAUGGAUAAUGCAGAACUUAAAGGAUGUGUAAAAUCGUAAUCUUUGAAGAUAAAUACAAGAUAUAUUAUAUGACUUACCCAAGCUCAGAUAGCUUCUGAUGAGCUUCGGCAUAAUCAGCAAAGAAAGCAUCUUCAUCCUGCAAUCAUUGACAAAUGAGAAUUCUUAGAUUAACUUAUCAGCAGAUAUAAUAAUUUCAUAAUGCCAACAAUAUGAUGAAAAGGAUUAUUAUAGGAAUAUUAAAUAUUAAAUAUACAUACAGCAGCAUAUUUCUCAACAAGUGGGCGGAAUACAGGGUCGCUCAAAAGUGCCUUAUCACUUGGCAACUGAAGAAGGCCUUCCUUCUCACCACCCAACAACUCCCUAAUCAUUCCAACAACAUCGAUAAUCAAUAAUAAGAAUUUAAAACAAAGAAAAAAGGGGGCAUGGAUGAGAGAUAAUGUUUUUAAUUAGACUCACGUAAAGUAUGAGUUGUCAAAAAUGAGAGGAUUAGAAGUCCAUGGGCCCUCAAAUCCAGAACGCUCCUUGUGUGCAGCUCCCUAAAAAUUACAUUAAGCAUAACCAAAACACAGUCACAACCUCAAUGUUGAGAAUAGUCGAAUAUGUUAUUAUUUUUCAUAACAAUUAAACAAGUUAAAAAUAAAAUUUUGCAGAUAAUAAGGCAACUUAGUCAAGUUUUUUGCAUUGGCAGCCAUAUCAUCACAAUCACAAAUCGCACAACCACAAUGCAGCCACAAAACUUAGAUGCUUAUUCCAGUGUCAAAAUAUCAAAUGUGACAAAUACUAUACUCAAUAAACAGAUUAAAGUCAAUGCAUACAAUGGUGUGGCCACCAGACAAAGCAACGAUGUCCUGGUCACUAAGCCCCAUAGCUUUGCCAAACACAUCCCUCAAAUGGUCAGAACCUGCAAAAAUCAAGAAUCAAAUAAUGAGCCAAACAACUACCAGUCAAUUGUAGGCAAUAAUUCACAUCGCAAGUCCAGAACACUUACCCUUGGUGGCAUCAGGCAAGCGACCCUCUGGUGGUGGCUCAGGCUUGUCCUGAUAAUUAAACCAGAACAAAGGACCAAUUAGCCUCCAAAUAUAAAAAUUAAAUAGGGUGAAAAACAAAGAUACAUCAGCAUCUUUUGAGUAUAAUUUAGCAUCCAUAUGUGUACAUAAUUACAAAACAUGCAAGAGACAAAAAGCAUUCCCAGUUAUCACAUGUGGUUAAUUAUUGCAAUGCAAUCUACAAGUUGGUUACCAACAGAAAUAUUUGAAACCCAGAAACUCGUUGAUAAGGAUUACAGACAGCUUACAUAACAUGCAAAUAAAUGAAAUCUGAGAACGUGAAAUGCAAGACAAAUUUGUUUCGUAUUAAUUGCAAACGCAUUUCGAACAGACAGUCAAAACUUACAAAUAAUUCCCAUACAUGUUACAAAGACUGAUCAAACACUUUACAAAAAAAGUAUUCGCGGACAUAAUUCCGAUCAUUAUAUACCGAGAAAAGUUAUAACCAGUAAUUGAUUUUCAAAUCAUGUCAACAAGAUUUGCAGACAAAAAAUACGACCAAAAAGUUAAAGAAGUAUCAUAAUUUGUAUUGAAAAAAUACAACUAUACCAUAUAAAUAAAUAAAGAGAAACUGAAAGUACUAAACAUAAACAUACCUCCCUGCCUGGGUGGAAAGGAACUUCAGGUCCACCUGUAACCUCAACAGCAACAACACCAGCCAACUGCAUAACCACAAAGCAAGCCAUUAAGCACAAAAAUCGUAGACUGAAAUAAUACAGCAAGAUCUAGCAAUUCAUCACAAAAAAUACAACAAAUCACUACCUGGUAGAAAUCAGCAUAGCUAAUGAUUGGGAAUUGCUCCUUAAGAGGCUCCAAAAGCCUAACAGCAAUAUCAAGACCGUUGUUAGCACCAUGAGCAAGCUCGGCUUGGUGCUUGAUGGUUCCGAAAGGACCACCAGUCUUUGUCUUUGAAUCAAAAGUUCCAGCAGAGUGCCAUCUACACAAACAAAUCAUAACAAAAAAAUCACACUCAAUUCAUCAUAAAAAGAAAACACUCAGUUGAUUACAAAAAAAAUCAUACAAUUCAUCACAAAUCAUCAAACAAAAAAAAAUUGUGACAAAAAAGUCAAAACAAAUCAUAACAAAAAUAAAAUUACACAAAUCAUGACAAAAAUCACACGAAUAAUUACAAAAAAAUAAUCAAGCACAAAUUUAAGCUAAACAAUCUAAUAAGUGAAAAUCUCACAUAGAAACGGUCCUACAAAAAAUGAGCGGAAAAUGAAACUUACGCCAAACGGAGCAUAAGAGGAGCACAUUUCUUCUCAGCGAUGAAACCUCUGAGCUUCCUCUUCGCCUUCUCAACAGCCUUCUGGUAAUCAGCACUCACGGUUGGGUAAGAUUUUCCCAUAGCUUAAAAUUUCUGUAACAAAAUCAAAAUCACAUAACAGAAUCAGAAACAGAUCAUCGCGUUGGUGAAAAAAUCGAAGAAAAACAAGCUCAAAAAUGGAUCUAAAAACACUGAUUCAAUAAACAAGAAUAUUAAUCAACUUCGAUUCGAAGAUAAGAGGUGAAUCAGAAGAAAUUGUUGAGCGGAGAAAGCGAGAAAUGAACGAACCUCGAAAUCUAAGAAGGAAAAUGGCGAAGAUUGUUGAACCCUAACUGUGACACGAGGAGAGCACAAG